GAUGAAGAACGCAGCGAAAUGCGAUAAGUAGUGUGAAUUGCAGAAUUCAGUGAAUCAUCGAAUCUUUGAACGCACAUUGCGCCCCUUGGUAUUCCAUGGGGCAUGCCUGUUCGAGCGUCAUUUGUACCUUCAAGCUUUGCUUGGUGUUGGGUGUUUGUCUCGCCUUUGCGUGUAGACUCGCCUUAAAAUAAUUGGCAGCCGGCGUAUUGAUUUCGGAGCGCAGUACAUCUCACGCUUUGCACUCAUAACGACAGCGUCCAAAAGUACAUUUUACACUCUUGACCUCGGAUCAGGUAGGGAUACCCGCUGAACUUAAGCAUAUCAAUAAGCGGAGGA
rnacentral:misc_RNA from 1 species